rnacentral:rRNA from 1 species
UACCAGCACCCCGAGUGGUGGCCACGUUUAUUGGGCCUAAAGCGCUCGUAGCCGGGCCUGCAAGUCCCUCGUGAAAUCGGGCCGCCUAACGGUCCGGCGUGCGGGGGAUACUGCAGGCCUUGGGGCCGGGAGACGCUGGGGGUACUCCUGGGGUAGCGGGGAAAUGUGUUAAUCCCAGGAGGACCACCGGUGGCGAAGGCGCCCAGCGAUAACGGUCCCGACGGUGAGGGGCGAAGGCUGGGGGAGCGAACGGG